AUGAACGCUGGCGGCGUGCUUAACACAUGCAAGUCGAACGGAAAGGCUCCUGCCUGCAGGGGUACUCGAGUGGCGAACGGGUGAGUAACACGUGGGUGAUCUGCCCUGUACUUCGGGAUAAGCUUGGGAAACUGGGUCUAAUACCGGAUAUGACAAUCUCUUGGAUGGGGUUGUGGAAAGCUUUUGCGGUAUGGGAUGAGCUCGCGGCCUAUCAGCUUGUUGGUGGGGUAAUGGCCUACCAAGGCGUCGACGGGUAGCCGGCCUGAGAGGGUGUACGGCCACAUUGGGACUGAGAUACGGCCCAGACUCCUACGGGAGGCAGCAGUGGGGAAUAUUGCACAAUGGGCGCAAGCCUGAUGCAGCGACGCCGCGUGGGGGAUGACGGCCUUCGGGUUGUAAACUCCUUUCGCAACCGACGAAGCUUUUGUGACGGUAGGUUGAGAAGAAGCACCGGCUAACUACGUG
rnacentral:rRNA from 1 species